UCCCUGGUGGUCUACUGGCUAAGACUCUGAGCUCCCAUGCAGGGGGCCCAGGUUCGAUCCCUGGACAGGGAG
rfam:Ovis aries breed Texel chromosome 11, whole genome shotgun sequence.